rnacentral:rRNA from 1 species
CUUCGGUAACUGACCUAGCGGCGGACGGGUGAGUAAUACUUAGGAAUCUGCCUAUUAAUGGGGGACAACAUCUCGAAAGGGAUGCUAAUACCGCAUACGCCCUACGGGGGAAAGCAGGGGAUCACUUGUGACCUUGCGUUAAUAGAUGAGCCUAAGUCGGAUUAGCUAGUUGGUGGGGUAAAGGCCUACCAAGGCGACGAUCUGUAGCGGGUCUGAGAGGAUGAUCCGCCACACUGGGACUGAGACACGGCCCAGACUCCUACGGGAGGCAGCAGUGGGGAAUAUUGGACAAUGGGGGGAACCCUGAUCCAGCCAUGCCGCGUGUGUGAAGAAGGCCUUAUGGUUGUAAAGCACUUUAAGCGAGGAGGAGGCUCUCUUGGUUAAUACCCAAGAAGAGUGGACGUUACUCGCAGAAUAAGCACCGGCUAACUCUGUGCCAGCAGCCGCGGUAAUACAGAGGGUGCGAGCGUUAAUCGGAUUUACUGGGCGUAAAGCGUGCGUAGGCGGCUUUUUAAGUCGGAUGUGAAAUCCCCGAGCUUAACUUGGGAAUUGCAUUCGAUACUGGGAAGCUAGAGUAUGGGAGAGGAUGGUAGAAUUCCAGGUGUAGCGGUGAAAUGCGUAGAGAUCUGG